AGAGUUUGAUCCUGGCUCAGGAUGAACGCUGACAGAAUGCUUAACACAUGCAAGUCUUUGGCGAAGCUGUGCUUGCACAGCCUAGCCAAGGCGGACGGGUGAGUAACGCGUAAGGGACUUGCCCUGCAGUCAGGGAUAACAGACGGAAACGACUGAUAAAACCUGGUAAAGUCAGGCGGACUCAUGUCCAGCCUGAUGAAAAGGAAUGCUGCAGGAGAGCCUUGCGUCCUAUUAGCUUGUUGGUGGGGUAACGGCCCACCAAGGCGAUGAUAGGUAGCCGGCCUGAGAGGGUGGACGGCCACAAGGGGACUGAGAUACGGCCCUUACUCCUACGGGAGGCAGCAGUGGGGAAUAUUGGACAAUGGGGGCAACCCUGAUCCAGCAAUUCUGUGUGCACGAAGAAGGUUUUCGGAUUGUAAAGUGCUUUCAGCAGGGAAGAAGGAAGUGACGGUACCUGCAGAAGAAGCGACGGCUAAAUACGUGCCAGCAGCCGCGGUAAUACGUAUGUCGCGAGCGUUAUCCGGAAUUAUUGGGCAUAAAGGGCAUCUAGGCGGCCUGACAAGUCAGGGGUGAAAACCUGCGGCUCAACCGCAGGCCUGCCUUUGAAACUGUGAGGCUGGAGUACCGGAGAGGUGGACGGAACUGCACGAGUAGAGGUGAAAUUCGUAGAUAUGUGCAGGAAUGCCGAUGAUGAAGAUAGUUCACUGGACGGCAACUGACGCUGAAGUGCGAAAGCUAGGGGAGCAAACAGGAUUAGAUACCCUGGUAGUCCUAGCUGUAAACGAUGAUUACUGGGUGUGGGCAUGAAGAGUGUCCGUGCCGAAGCUAAUGCGAUAAGUAAUCCGCCUGGGGAGUACGGCCGCAAGGCUGAAACUCAAAGGAAUUGACGGGGACCCGCACAAGCGGUGGA
rnacentral:rRNA from 1 species